CUCGGAUAUCUGAGCUUCACUGUGAAAACAUAAUCGUACAUUUGAUAUUUCAUUGGAUUUUAUUGUUUUGGCUUCGGGGUGGCACCUGGGGUGGCCAGUCUGGUUGGGGGGGUGGCCUGUGCCACCCCGCUGGACACGCCACAGCUGCUCAUACAUGCUUGGAACGAUCUUGUUACUGAAGUGGACGCGCAACGAGAUAUCAUAGCGUGGCUCAAGCACGUUCAUCAUAGUUUAAACCCCUUGUUUUGCACAACGGAGUACGGCCUCACGUCUGCAGCUAAACACCCCAAUAGCUUUUGUAAUAGCUUUAGCCCGGUCGGACUGGGCAGCAAAGGGCUGCUUAAAUGCCGCAAACUCCUCUGCUCCUCCACUUGGACCGCUAGCGCUGGCCAUAACUACCGCUUGACAGACUGACCACGCACACCAUACACAUACUUUUUUUCUUCUUCUUUUUCGAAUCUUCGGAUCCACGAACCGCGGAGUGGGAUCGGUUCGGAUUACGGAUCAACCGUGAUCCGUUGCACCACUAGUUACAGUACAAUAAAGUAGUUUUAACCGCACUUAAAUAUAAUGCAUUACAAUAAUACAGAAGAUCAUGGGUGUGCAGGGUAAAUGGAGCUGUUUUCUGUAGCAGAGUAAGAGUCCAGUGCAGGGCUGGGUGUUGUUUUCCUGUAAAUCACACUAGGAACCAUUUUAAAGGGGAAGCUGCUCGCUCUGUGCUUUCUGUUUCCUUCUUAGGCUGCGGCAAUGGCUGACCAAGAGCUAAACAGACAAGAAGAAUUUCUGAUAACUCAACAAGGUUUCAGAGAAAAUGCCUACAAGAUUAUCAUGAAGAUGAAUGACUGGUCUAACAUGACUCCAGGAAGUAAACACUUAGUGGAUGAGAUUCUUCACAGCAUCUUCUUUUUGGGUAAAAUCAAUGAACCCUCCUUUCCCCCAAAUGAAAUCUUCUCUGAUGACGAUAUUUUGGAAGCCUUAAUGGAAAAAUAUCCCAGACCUUUUCAGUUCUAUCUGACUGAGCUUCCUAGGCGGAGUCCGUUCUCCUGUGUGCUCGACAUGAUUGUCCUGCGGGAAAAUCCAGAGAAUGAAGAGCAAAUAAAGCAGAGUCUGCAAGAACUCAUCAGAGACCUAGCUCCACAAUUUCUGGUCUCCUCCAUCAUCUGCAUUUCUCAGAAAUCCAACACCGACCAAAAUUCAAAGAGGUACUACGGAGUCUCCAUGUCCACCAACGGUCCUAACCCAGGGAAAAUUGUGAUUGGUGCCUCCUGUCUUAGCAAAUGGGAUGAAUAUGUAUCUGGUGCAGUGAUGACCUAUUAUCCAAAAAAGAAAAAGAAAGAAUACUUUGAUGGAACCAUCAAAGUACCUGGAAACAUCAGGUGUGAGGCAUUUAGUCUCAGUCGUGAUGAACAAAUGAGCCCUUGUAAAUCAUGUCAUAAUUUGUUUGGCUUGAACACACAAGAAACCAAAGAGUGGCCUUAUGGUAACUGUGCUGAACCCGAGAGCCUGAGCAACUUGCUUAAAAAUGAGGAAGAAGUUAAAAAUACAACACAUGUACAUGAAUACUCAGCUGAAAACAGGCAGAGAGCUGAGAGAGAGGUUCGUAAGGAUCUUCAGGCAGUGUUGAGAACGAUUCACUUUAACACCUGGACAGGUGAAUUUUACAACCCAGAGUCAGAGUGAGAUGUCAUGAAAUCAUCUGCAUAAGGUGACCUGAUACAUCUGCUUUGAUAUGAUUCUGAUGAAUGAAAGAGGCUCUGCUCUGACAGCAUCAGUGUGGAUUUGCUGUAAUCACAGACACACAUUAGCGCGCUCAAACUGUUUAUUCUCCAGCUCUGUGUAAUGUGCUUUGUAGAAAUUAUAAUAACAAUAAAUAUCAGCAUGUAAAAAUGAACUGUGCAAAAAACUAAAAAGGUGUUUCAAUCAAGUUAAUAAUAAAAUCAGGUUUCUAUAAUUUUAAUGCAAUAUGAAGCAUGCGAGGCAGCAAUUAUAGGGAAGAAACACGUCUUUAUACUGGUCUAUACCCAGGAUGCACAGAAAAUAAAACCUUUUUUUUUCCCUUUUAUGAUCCCAUCUAUAACCUCUUUCAUAAGUAAAAGCAUUACAUGUGUAGUUAUAGUAGUUGUAGUAGUUAUAGGACUAGUUAUAUUUGUGCUCUGUAAAAUGUAACUUGUUUCACUUUAACCCUGUAAAGUCUCAACCAUGAAAUAAUUGACAGAAAUCUCAACUGAAGUGUUUAUUGAACCUUCUAACAAAUACAAUAAAUAAAUAAAUUGCAUAUGUGAG
ensembl:lncRNA